GAACGAACUCUGGUAUUGAUUGGUGCUUGCAUCAUGAUUUACAUUUGAGUGAGUGGCGAACUGGUGAGUAACACGUGGGAAACCUGCCCAGAAGCGGGGGAUAACACCUGGAAACAGAUGCUAAUACCGCAUAACAACUUGGACCGCAUGGUCCGAGCUUGAAAGAUGGCUUCGGCUAUCACUUUUGGAUGGUCCCGCGGCGUAUUAGCUAGAUGGUGGGGUAACGGCUCACCAUGGCAAUGAUACGUAGCCGACCUGAGAGGGUAAUCGGCCACAUUGGGACUGAGACACGGCCCAAACUCCUACGGGAGGCAGCAGUAGGGAAUCUUCCACAAUGGACGAAAGUCUGAUGGAGCAACGCCGCGUGAGUGAAGAAGGGUUUCGGCUCGUAAAACUCUGUUGUUAAAGAAGAACAUAUCUGAGAGUAACUGUUCAGGUAUUGACGGUAUUUAACCAGAAAGCCACGGCUAACUACGUGCCAGCAGCCGCGGUAAUACGUAGGUGGCAAGCGUUGUCCGGAUUUAUUGGGCGUAAAGCGAGCGCAGGCGGUUUUUUAAGUCUGAUGUGAAAGCCUUCGGCUCAACCGAAGAAGUGCAUCGGAAACUGGGAAACUUGAGUGCAGAAGAGGACAGUGGAACUCCAUGUGUAGCGGUGAAAUGCGUAGAUAUAUGGAAGAACACCAGUGGCGAAGGCGGCUGUCUGGUCUGUAACUGACGCUGAGGCUCGAAAGUAUGGGUAGCAAACAGGAUUAGAUACCCUGGUAGUCCAUACCGUAAACGAUGAAUGCUAAGUGUUGGAGGGUUUCCGCCCUUCAGUGCUGCAGCUAACGCAUUAAGCAUUCCGCCUGGGGAGUACGGCCGCAAGGCUGAAACUCAAAGGAAUUGACGGGGGCCCGCACAAGCGGUGGAGCAUGUGGUUUAAUUCGAAGCUACGCGAAGAACCUUACCAGGUCUUGACAUACUAUGCAAAUCUAAGAGAUUAGACGUUCCCUUCGGGGACAUGGAUACAGGUGGUGCAUGGUUGUCGUCAGCUCGUGUCGUGAGAUGUUGGGUUAAGUCCCGCAACGAGCGCAACCCUUAUUAUCAGUUGCCAGCAUUAAGUUGGGCACUCUGGUGAGACUGCCGGUGACAAACCGGAGGAAGGUGGGGAUGACGUCAAAUCAUCAUGCCCCUUAUGACCUGGGCUACACACGUGCUACAAUGGAUGGUACAACGAGUUGCGAACUCGCGAGAGUAAGCUAAUCUCUUAAAGCCAUUCUCAGUUCGGAUUGUAGGCUGCAACUCGCCUACAUGAAGUCGGAAUCGCUAGUAAUCGCGGAUCAGCAUGCCGCGGUGAAUACGUUCCCGGGCCUUGUACACACCGCCCGUCACACCAUGAGAGUUUGUAACACCCAAAGUCGGUGGGGUAACCUUUAGA
rnacentral:rRNA from 2 species